rnacentral:rRNA from 1 species
AUUUGGAGAGGAUGCUUUUGGCGCGGCGCCGUCCGAGUUCCUUGGAACAGGACGCCACAGAGGGUGAGAGCCCCGUACGGACGGACGCCUAGCCUCUACAAAGCUCCUUCGACGAGUCGAGUAGUUUGGGAAUGCUGCUCAAAAUGGGAGGUAAAUUUCUUCUAAAGCUAAAUACCGGCCAGAGACCGAUAGCGCACAAGUAGAGUGAUCGAAAGAUGAAAAGCACUUUGAAAAGAGGGUUAAAAAGUACGUGAAAUUGUUGAAAGGGAAGCGCCUGUGACCAGACUUGCGCCCCGUGGACCAUCCGGCGUUCUCGCCGGUGCACUCUGCGGGGCGCAGGCCAGCAUCGGUUCUCCUAGGGGGAUAAAGGCCGCGGGAACGUAGCUCCUUCGGGAGUGUUAUAGCCCGCGGUGGCAUGCCCCUGGGGGGACCGAGGACCGCGCUUCGGCAAGGAUGCUGGCGUAAUGGUCACCAGCGACCCGUCUUGAAACACGGACCAAGGAGUCAAGCAUUGGGGCGAGUGUAUGGGUGCCAAACCCGCACGCGAAAUGAAAGUAAACGCAGGUGAGAGCUUCGGCGCAUCAUCGACCGAUCCUGAUGUCUUCGGAUGGAUUUGAGUAAGAGCCUUACCGCUUGGACCCGAAAGAUGGUGAACUAUGCCUGAAUAGGGUGAAGCCAGAGGAAACUCUGGUGGAGGCUCGCAGCGGUUCUGACGUGCAAAUCGAUCGUCAAAUUUGGGCAUGGGGGCGAAAGACUAAUCG